UCAGCUCGUGUUGUGAAAUGUUGGGUUAAGUCCCGCAACGAGCGCAACCCUUAUCCUUUGUUGCCAGCGGUCCGGCCGGGAACUCAAAGGAGACUGCCAGUGAUAAACUGGAGGAAGGUGGGGAUGACGUCAAGUCAUCAUGGCCCUUACGACCAGGGCUACACACGUGCUACAAUGGCGCAUACAAAGAGAAGCGACCUCGCGAGAGCAAGCGGACCUCAUAAAGUGCGUCGUAGUCCGGAUUGGAGUCUGCAACUCGACUCCAUGAAGUCGGAAUCGCUAGUAAUCGUGGAUCAGAAUGCCACGGUGAAUACGUUCCCGGGCCUUGUACACACCGCCCGUCACACCAUGGGAGUGGGUUGCAAAAGAAGUAGGUAGCUUAACCUUCGGGAGGGCGCUUACCACUUUGUGAUUCAUGACUGGGGUGAAGUCGUAACAAGGUAACCGUAGGGGAACCUGCGGUUGGAUCACCUCCUU
rnacentral:rRNA from 1 species